ensembl:lncRNA
AUAAACCUGAUUCCCCUGCACUGACUCGACUGUCACGCCGAAAAUCAACUCAAAACACCUUGGCACGUGUGACAGCCCUGUGGCCCCUCAAGAGAGAGCCACAGAUCCCUAUGUCAACUCAGCCGGGACCCUGACACUACUUUUACAGCUCAAGAGGAAAGCGGACUUGCAUGUCUCCAUACAAGACGAGGCCUGACUCCCCUGUGGAAACUCCAUAGGAAUCCUGAGAUCCAUGUCAGUACUGGAGAGAAAUCUUACGUUCUGACCUCAAAAGUAGCAGAGACCAUUGGCCCCUGCGUUGACUGGAGAGGAAUCCCGAGAGGCCCCUCACAACUCGCAUGGAGACUUGACUUUCCUGAGGAAACAUGAUCGGGUACCUGACAUCUCUGUCGUAACUCAAGAGGAACCCCAAGUUUCCUGCCGCAACUCGAGAAAAACCAGGAGAUUCUCCCAUCUAUGCGAGAUGAGGCCCUUUUCGGCUGCAGCAUCUUGAGAGAAAUCCCACAUUCUCUAUUGAGCCUUGAAAGUGUCUUUGACACCCUUGAUGCAACUCAAGCAGUUUUCCUACAUCCCCUUCUCCAAUCGUGAGUAACACCGAGAGUGCCCUGGCACAACUCAAGAAGAGCCCCGUUUUUCCCUCCUCAUCUCGACAUGAGGGUCUGCCUUGAGCCAGCAGAGGAGAUCCCAACCAUGACAAAGGUCAUGAGGACGAGUCCUUACAGCUUUCUUUUCAGGCUGAUCCCUUGGGGUGCAGGUUUCCUCCGUGUUCACUUCUCUGCCAGGGCUUCUAAGACCCAUGAGAGAUGGAGCACAAAGCGGGGCACCAUCCACUAUUCAAGCUCCGGCCGGUGGCCUACGUGAAUCGUGAAAGGAAUCCCGGCAUUCCUGUCACAACUCAAGAGAAGGCAGUCUCAACAUGAAACACGAGAGGAACUCCAGGGCUUGUAUCACAAUUUAAAAAGACCCCGAAGUCCCAAUCCACUCCAGAAACACUUGAUUCCCGUUCACUGACUCGACUGUCACCCCAAGGAUUGAUUCACAACACGAGGGCUGGUGUGACAGCACUGUAGCACUCGAGAGAAGCCAUGGAUCCCUAUGUCAACAAGAUAAGAAGUCUGACACUGCUUUGAGAGCUUGAGAGGAAAGCGAACUUGCAUGACUCCUCACGAGAUAAGGCCUGCGUCCCCUGUAGAAACUCAAUAGGAACCUCAAGAUCCAUGUCAGCACUGGAGAGGCACCCUGAGGUUCCGGCCUCAACUCCAGGUAAGUACCUAGGACCCGGCAUCUAUUGGAGAGGAAUUACAGGAGGCCCUUCACAACUCGCAUGGAGACUGGACUUUCCUUAGGCAACACAAGCAGGUCCCUGAGGUCCCUGUCAUAAGACGAGAGGAACCCCAAGUUUCCUGCUGCAACUCAAGAAAAACCAGGAGAUUCUUGCCUCAACGAGAGAUGAGGUUCCUUUCUGCUGUGGCAUCUCAAAAGAAAUCCCACGUUCCCUCUUGAGCCUCUCAAGGGUCCUUGACACCCUUGAUGCAACUCAAGAAACUCCCUGACAUACCUGUCUCCACUCGAGAGGAACACCGAGUGUCCCGCCACAACUCAGGAAGAUCCCCGUUUUCCCUCCUCAUCUUGAGAUGAGGGGUCACUUCCAUGCUUCGUCGGGAAAGGAAUCCCUUUGUUCCCAUCGCACCUCAAGAGGAGGCGGUCUCAACUUGAAAGUCGAGAGGAAUUACAGGGAUUGUGCCACCAUUCCAAAAGAUCCUGAUGUCCCAAUCCACUCCAGAAACAGCUGAUUCCCCUUCACUGACUCGACUGUCACCCCACGUAACGACUCAAAACACGAUGGCAUAGGUGACAGCCCUGGUGGCACCUCGAGAGAAAGCCGCAGAUCCCUAUGUCAACUCGACAGGAAACCUGACACUAUUUUUACAGCUCUAGAGGAAACCGGACUAGCACGUCUCCAAACGAGACGAGGCCUGACUCCCCUGUGGAAACUUCAUAGGAACCCCGAGAUCCAUGUCAGCACUGGAGAGGAAACCUAAGGUUCCGGCCGCAACUCCAGAUGAGGACCUAGGACCCGGCACCCACAGGAGAGGAAUCCUGAGAAGCCCCUCGCAACUCAUAUGGAGACUGGAAUUUCUUGAGGCCACACGAGUGGGUUCCUCAGGUUCCAGUCGCAACUCAAGAGGUACGCCAAGUUUCCAACCGCAACUCGAGAAAAUCCAAGAGAUUCUCCCCUCAACGCGAGAUGAGGCCCUUUUCUACUGCAGCAUCUCAAGAGAAAUCCCACUUUCCCUCUUCACCCUCGAAAUGAUCCUUGACACCAUUGAUGCCACUCAAGAUGUUCCCCGACAUAAUCGUCUCCACUCGAGAGGAACACUGAGGGUCCUGCCACAACUCAAGAAGAGCCCCAUUUUCCCUCCUCAUCUCGAGAUGAUUGUCUAUUUCCCUAAUUCGUUUGGAAAGAUAUCCCUGCGUUCCGUCGCACCUCAAAACGAGCGGGUCUCAACUUGAAACUCGAGAGCAACUCAGGUGUCGUGCUACCGGGGUCAGGCCCGGUUGAUUCCAGGGUAUCUGAAGCAUGGACGGCUAGGCCAGAGAGGUAUAUAGAUAUAGACUUAUAGACUUAGAAUUAUAGAGGGAGGUAAGACAGCCGUUAAGAAAUUAGAGGAAAGAAUGAGGCUGAUAUUCCUUGGUUUACACAAAUAGCUAAUAAAGUCUCAAGACAAGACACUUGCUCUGUUCUCGUAGGCCAUAGGCGCCUGCUUGAAUAGUGGCGUUUACCCCACCUUGGACUCCCUCUCGCGUGGGUCUUAGAAGCCCUGGCAUAAAAGUGAACGCGUAGAACCUCUGUCGUCCAAAGAUCAGCCUGAAAAUGAGAGGGAGUGAGAGGGAGAAAGAGAGAAAGAAUUGACAUGAGGGAGGUCAAGCUUAUGCAGAAACCCCAUAACUUCAUUUUCAAAAGGUGCUUAUAUACCCUAAGUUUUACAUAACGGAAGAUGCAGAGACAUGAAGGGUCAGCAGUCCUGACCUUAUAGAUAUCAGGCUUUCUUACUGCAUACCUUUCCGAAAACAAAAAGGUCCCAGGUGAUUUACAUUAUCUUCUGGCCAGGAGGCAUGUUAACAUUUUAUGGUAUUUUUCCUUGAUAGAUGUUAAUCAACCAAAAAACUCAUUUUCCCUUGAAAUGUUUUUCUUUAAUCUGCAUCACCCUCAAAGUACUAAAUAAAGUUACAUCCUUAUAGAACAAAUGUGCAGCGGGUUACAACAAACAAAGUACUUAACUCAAAGAUCUAAUGUUGCUACUUGUUUUUCUAUAUACCAACUAUAUUAAUUAAUGCACUCCUGGGUACACAACAACUAAAGCAUAUGAAAACUUGGCAGCAAGUAAUGGUUCAAAUAGGAAACCCUUAACCUUAAAAAAUCUAAUGAUUUUUUAACUCCUCAAAAGGCUCAAGAUGAGGAGGGGAGAAACAGGGCUCUUCUUGAGUUGUGGCGGGAUAUUUGGUAUUCCUCUCCAGUGGAGAUGAGUAUUUAGGGGAACUUCUUGAGUUGCAUCCAGGGUGUCAAGGACCCUAUCGAGGCUAAAGAGGGAAGGUGGGAGUUCUCUCGAGACACUGCAGCGGAAAAGGGCCUCAUCUCGCGUUGAGGGGAGAAUCUCCUGGUUUUUCUCGAGUUGCAGCAGGAAACUUCGGCUUUCUCUCGAGUUACGACGGGGACCUCAAGGACCUGCUCUUGUGGCCUCAGGAAAGUCCAGUCUCCAUGUGAGUUGAGAGGGGCCUCUCGGGAUUCCUCUCCAGUCAGUGCCAGAUCCUAGGUCCUCAUCUGGAGCUGAGGCCGCAGCCUCAGAUUUCCUCUUCAGGGCUGCCAUGGUUCUCGGGGUUCCUAUGGAGUUUCCACAGGGAGUCAUGCCUUGUCCUGGGUGGAGACAUACAAGUCCGCUUUCCUCCCGAGCUGUAACAGUAGUGUCAGGCUUCUGUCGAGUUGACAUAGGGAUCUUUGGCUUUCUCUCAAGGUGCAACAGGGCUGUUACACCUGCCAUCGUGUUGUGAGUCGAUACUCGAGGUGACAGUCGAGUCAGUGCAGGGGUAUCAGGUGUAUCUGGAGUGGACUGGGACAUAGGGGUCUUUUGGAAUGGUGGCACGACCCCUGGAGUUCCUCUUGACGUUCAAGUUGAGACUUCCUCAUCUUGAGGUGCGAUGGCAAUGCUGGGAUUUCUUUCCUGACGAAGCAGGGAAAGGGACUCUCAUCUCAAGAUGAAGAGCGAUAAAAGGGACUCUUCUUGAAUUGUGG